AUUGAACGCUGGCGGCAGGCCUAACACAUGCAAGUCGAACGAGUGGCGGACGGGUGAGUAAUGUCUGGGAAACUGCCUGAUGGAGGGGGAUAACUACUGGAAACGGUAGCUAAUACCGCAUACCAUCGGAUGUGCCCAGAUGGGAUUAGCUAGUUGGUGGGGUAACGGCUCACCUAGGCGACGAUCCCUAGCUGGUCUGAGAGGCUGACCAGCCACAAUGGAACUGAGACACGGUCCAGACUCCUACAGGAGGCAGCAGUGGGGAAUAUUGCAAAAUGGGCGCAAGCCUGAUGCAGCCAUGCCGCGGGUAUGAAGAAGGCCGUCGGGGUGUAAAGGACUUUCAGCGGGGAGGCGUUACCCGCAAGAGAAGCACCGGCUAACUCCGUGCCAGCAGCCGCGGUAAUAC
rnacentral:rRNA from 1 species